GCGAAUAGCUCAGUGGUUAGAAGGCUAGUUUGCAAUGCCAAAGGUCUAUGGUUCGAGCCCACAGUCGGACA
rnacentral:tRNA from 1 species